AUUGAACGCUGGCGGCAGGCCUAACACAUGCAAGUCGAACGAGUGGCGGACGGGUGAGUAAUGUCUGGGAAACUGCCCGAUGGAGGGGGAUAAAUACUGGAAACGGUAGCUAAUACCGCAUACCAUCGGAUGUGCCCCGAUGGGAUUAGCUUGUAGGUGAGGUAACGGUCAACCUAGGCGACGAUCCCUAGCUGGGCUGAGAGGAUGACCAGUCACACGGGAACGGAGACACGGUCCAGACUCGUACGGGAGGCAGCAGGGGGGAAUAUUGCACAAUGUGCGCAAGCCUGAUGCAGCCAUGCCGCGUGUAGGAAGAAUGCCUUCGUGUUGUAAAGUACUUUCAGCGUGGAGGCGUUACCCGCAGAAGAAGCACCGGCUAACUCCGUGCCAGCCGCCGCGGUAAUAC
rnacentral:rRNA from 1 species